UGCUUAACACAUGCAAGUCGAACGAGAAAGUGGGCUUCGGUCCGCGAGUAGAGUGGCGCACGGGUGCGUAACACGUGGGUAAUCUACCCCUUAAAUUGGGAUAACAUUGCGAAAGUGAUGCUAAUACCGAAUGACAUCCAAAUGUUUUUGGACAUAUGGAUCAAAGAUGGCCUCUCCUUGGAAGCUAUCGUUGAGGGAUGAGCCUGCGUACCUUUAGCUAGUUGGUAGGGUAAUGGCCUACCAAGGCUAUGAUGGUUAGCUGGUCUGAGAGGAUGAUCAGCCACACUGGAACUGACACACGGUCCAGACUCCUACGGGAGGCAGCAGUGAGGAAUUUUGCGCAAUGGGGGCAACCCUGACGCAGCAACGCCGCGUGAGUGAUGAAGGCCUUUGGGUCGUAAAACUCUGUCAGCAGGAAAGAAGUUAUAGGUGGCUAAUAUCCAUUUAUAUUGACGGUACCUGCAAAGGAAGCACCGGCUAACUCCGUGCCAGCAGCCGCGGUAACACGGGGGGUGCAAGCGUUAUUCGGAAUUAUUGGGCGUAAAGGGCGCGUAGGCGGCUGAUCAGGUCAGAUGUGAAAGCCCGGGGCUUAACCCCGGAAGUGCAUUUGAAACCGGUCAGCUUGAGUAUGGGAGAGGAAAGUGGAAUUCCUGGUGUAGAGGUGAAAUU
rnacentral:rRNA from 1 species